rfam:Schistosoma mansoni strain Puerto Rico chromosome 1, complete genome
GCACUGGUGAAAAGUCCCACAAUAGGACGAAACGGCCGUCCAGUGC